rnacentral:rRNA from 1 species
UACAGAGGUCUCAAGCGUUGUUCGGAUUCAUUGGGCGUAAAGGGUGCGUAGGUGGCGCCGUAAGUCGGGUGUGAAAUUUCGGAGCUUAACUCCGAAACUGCAUUCGAUACUGCGGUGCUUGAGGACUGGAGAGGAGACUGGAAUUCAUGGUGUAGCAGUGAAAUGCGUAGAGAUCAUGAGGAAGAUCAGUGGCGAAGGCGGGUCUCUGGACAGUUCCUGACACUGAGGCACGAAGGCCAGGGGAGCAAACGGG